rnacentral:rRNA from 1 species
AGUGAACGCUGGCGGUAGGCCUAACACAUGCAAGUCGAACGGCAGCACAGUAAGAGCUUGCUCUUACGGGUGGCGAGUGGCGGACGGGUGAGGAAUACAUCGGAAUCUACUUUUUCGUGGGGGAUAACGUAGGGAAACUUACGCUAAUACCGCAUACGACCUACGGGUGAAAGCAGGGGAUCUUCGGACCUUGCGCGAUUGAAUGAGCCGAUGUCGGAUUAGCUAGUUGGCGGGGUAAAGGCCCACCAAGGCGACGAUCCGUAGCUGGUCUGAGAGGAUGACCAGCCACACUGGAACUGAGACACGGUCCAGACUCCUACGGGAGGCAGAAGUGGGGAAUAUUGGACAAUGGGCGCAAGCCUGAUCCAGCCAUACCGCGUGGGUGAAGAAGGCCUUCGGGUUGUAAAGCCCUUUUGUUGGGAAAGAAAAGCAGCAGGUUAAUACCCCGCUGUUCUGACGGUACCCAAAGAAUAAGCACCGGCUAACUUCGUG